rnacentral:rRNA from 1 species
CCUACGGGAGGCAGCAGUGGGGAAUAUUGCGCAAUGGGGGAAACCCUGACGCAGCAACGCCGCGUGGAUGAUGAAGGCCUUCGGGUUGUAAAGUCCUGUCAAAUGGGAAGAAAUGCAUAGUAAUGAAUAAUUAUUAUGCCUGACUGUACCAUGAGAGGAAGCCACGGCUAACUCCGUGCCAGCAGCCGCGGUAAUACGGAGGUGGCAAGCGUUGUUCGGAAUCACUGGGCGUAAAGGGCGUGUAGGCGGCCUUAUAAGUUGGAUGCAAAAGCCCUCGGCUUAACCGAGGAUUCGCAUUCAAUACUGUAGGGCUAGAGUACAGGAGAGGAGAGUGGAAUUCCCAGUGUAGCGGUGAAAUGCGUAGAUAUUGGGAGGAACACCGGUGGCGAAGGCGGCUCUCUGGACUGAUACUGACGCUGAGGCGCGAAAGCUAGGGGAGCAAACAGGAUUAGAUACCCUGGUAGUCCUAGCUGUAAACGAUGGACACUAGGUGUGGGAGGUAUCGACUCCUUCCGUGCCGUAGCUAACGCAUUAAGUGUCCCGCCUGGGGAGUACGGUCGCAAGACUGAAACUUAAAGGAAUUGACGG